GAUGAACGCUGGCGGCGUGCCUAAUACAUGCAAGUCGAGCGAACAGACGAGGAGCUUGCUCCUCUGACGUUAGCGGCGGACGGGUGAGUAACACGUGGAUAACCUACCUAUAAGACUGGGAUAACUUCGGGAAACCGGAGCUAAUACCGGAUAAUAUAUUGAACCGCAUGGUUCAAUAGUGAAAGACGGUUUUGCUGUCACUUAUAGAUGGAUCCGCGCCGCAUUAGCUAGUUGGUAAGGUAACGGCUUACCAAGGCAACGAUGCGUAGCCGACCUGAGAGGGGGAUCGCCCACACGGGAACAGAGACCGGACCCAGCCCCCGAGGGGAGGAAGCGGGGGGGAUUCUCCCGAAAGGGGAGAAACCUGGACGAACAAACGCGGGGGGGGUAAUAAAGUUCUCCGGAUCGAAAACCGUUUUUUUGGGGAAAAAAAAAAUGUGAAAGAAACAAUCCCUUUUUGGAGUUUCCUAAACAAAAAACCCCCGCCAAAUUCCUG
rnacentral:rRNA from 1 species